rnacentral:rRNA from 1 species
UACAGAGGUGCCGAGCGUUAGGCGGAAUCACUGGGCUUAAAGCGUGUGUAGGCGGAUGCCUAAGUACCUUGUGAAAUCCCACGGCUUAACCGUGGAACUGCUCGGUAUACUGGGUGUCUUGAGCCACUUAGGGGCUACCGGAACAAAUGGUGGAGCGGUGAAAUGCGUAGAUAUCAUUUGGAACGCCAAUGGUGAAAACAGCUCGCUGGGGCUGCGCUGACGCUGAGACACGAAAGCCAGGGGAGCGAACGGG